rnacentral:tmRNA from 1 species
GGGGGCGACCUGGCUUCGACGUGGUUCGCGAAACCCGAGGUGCAUGCCGAGGAGACAGCUUCCCUCGUAAAACCAGCUGUUACGCUAUAGUUGCCAACGACGACAACUACGCUCUGGCUGCGUAAAACCAGCUAGACCUUCGACUGGACUUGCUUGUGGGUCCUACUUGAAGGUCAUCGCACACAAGCUCGCGGAGCGGACUCGCCCGGGUCUUAACCGUUAAAUCCAAUCGGGAUCGCGUCUGGGUAUCCUGUCCGUCGGAGACUCAGACGUAAAAUCAAAUGACGGCACUAAGCAUGUAGUAUCCAAGGAUGUAGGUCCUGCGGACGCGGGUUCGAUUAACACAAUGGUCGCCUCUACCCGUAAGGGUAGAGUGAAAACGGGGCUCACAUCGGUGGACCCUACGGCAGGGCAACCUGCUACGGCAACACCGAGGGGUAGGAAGAGGGCUAACCUCAGGCCUGCCCUGUAGAGACUCAUAGACCGGCUGAGUUCAUGGGAACAGAGCCGGCACUAGGAUUCACGGAAAACCAUACCGUGGAUAACACGCCCCGCAUCCUGGCAACAGGAUGAAGGUAUAGUCCAGCCCAUAUCGAAAGAUAUGGAUGACUGUCCCGCCGCCUCCACCA